AUCAAGAUCUCAAAUGAGGUAAGACUACCCGCUGAAUUUAAGCAUAUAAUUAAGCGGAGGAAAAGAAACUAACAAGGAUUCCCUCAGUAACGGCGAGUGAAGCGGGAAGAGCUCAAACCGAAAAUCUCUGUCGCAAGACAGCGAAUUGUGGUCUAUUGAAGCGUGUCUCAGUGUGCAGUCCCGGCCUAAAUCGAUUGGAACAUCGUAUCAGAGAGGGUGAGAAUCCCGUUCUUGGCUGGGUGUCUGCCGCGUUCGAGCCGUUCUCAAAGAGUCGGGUUGCUUGGGAGUGCAGCCCUAAGUGGGUGGUAAAUUUCAUCUAAAGCUAAAUACAUGUGGGAGACCGAUAGCGAACAAGUACCGUGAGGGAAAGAUGAAAAGAACUUUGAAAAGAGAGUUAAAAAGUACUUGAAAUUGCUGAGAACGAAGGGAUGGCGACUAGUAAUGACUCGGGCGAUCCUCGGGCUGCGGUCGAUCUGGUGUUUGUGAUUGCCUAGCUUCACUUGCAUCGGGUGUCGGCUGUGGUUCGGGAUCAGAUCGUUCGGGUCUAGGUCAGGAUGGAUUCGCAGCGGUUGAAACUGGCGGCGGGAAGGUAACUUGGACGUCAAAAUCCUCGAACUUAUAGCCCGCCGUUUAGAGACUGUUGUGGAUUGAGGUGCUGAAGCGCGCGCUCUAAGCUCUUGAUGCGUCGACCGCUG
rnacentral:rRNA from 1 species